rnacentral:misc_RNA from 1 species
CCCGUGCAAUAGCUUCAUCACGGGUUGUCACGAUCACUCUGCUUCCCGGAGCUCCAUGCAUCAAUGGAGAACACAAGGCAUUCCACUCAUCAUAAUUCUUGUUCCAGACAUCGUCUAAAACAAUCAAAAACUUCUUUCCUUCUAAUUUUUCACACAACUCCAGUUGAACUUGAUUGAGCUCGUUUAGAUAACACGACUCUCGAGUGAUCGACUCAAGAAUGCUCUUUGUUAUCUUCAAAAUGUCAAACUCAUCAGACACACAAACCCACGCUUUUAGAUGAAAUUUUUGUUGUGAUAACUCGUCAUU